rnacentral:rRNA from 1 species
GUAGGGGGCUAGCGUUAUCCGGAAUUAUUGGGCGUAAAGGGUGCGUAGGCGGUCCUACAAGUCAGAGGUGAAAGGCUACGGCUCAACCGUAGUAAGCCUUUGAAACUGUAGGACUUGAGUGCAGGAGAGGAGAGUGGAAUUCCCAGUGUAGCGGUGAAAUGCGUAGAUAUUGGGAGGAACACCAGUUGCGAAGGCGGCUCUCUGGACUGUAACUGACGCUGAGGCACGAAAGCGUGGGGAGCGAACAGGAUUAGAUACCCUGGUAGUCCACGCCGUAAACGAUGAGUACUAGGUGUCGGGGGUUACCCCCCUCGGUGCCGCAGCUAACGCAUUAAGUACUCCGCCUGGGAAGUACGCUCGCAAGAGUGAA